CAAAAAAGUAAAGUGAAGUUUUGGACCAGUGUGAAAACAUUAUAUCAAUUAAACACACACAUCUAUCAUGAAUGAUCUUGGUACACUGAAAGCGAAGAUGAAAGAUUUACAGGAGAAGUUGGCCACAUCCGAGAAGCAAGCUGAUGGAAGGGGAAGUUCGAGGAAGAAAAACAAUUGCGUGAAAGGGCUGAGUCACAACUGGAGCAGGCAGAGAAGGAACUGAACUUGACAAAAGCAAAGCUGUCCUCUGCACUGCCAAUACAAUAGCCAACCAUUGUAAUUAAUCUGGGAUCAGAGAAACGACCAGCCGGCCACUGCUGAUGACGUGAGAUCCCCGCUCCUGUGUCAGCGGCAAUUGUCAUGUUCUCAAUUCUCAAUUGUCAUGUUCUCAAUUCUCAUGUUCUCAAUCCCUACAAUUGUUUGCUAUGUUUACAUUUGUCAUGUUCUAUGCUGCACCCGUCAGGCCAAACCAUUUCUUUGAUCUCUAAAUACAAGGCACACACACACACAUACACACAAUGGAUUUCUCUCGCCACUGCUGCUACUCUUAUUCCCAGGACAAUGUCAGCCAAGAGACAAGUAUUAAUACCCCCAGGUGGCAUUCAGGGGGUCUACCCCUCCCACCUGCUACCCGCUCUUCCCCGUACCCCCCAACUAGUCAGACAUGCCAGUGGUUUGGCCUUGACAAUGCCAAGCCCAAAGAAUAACAUUACUCUCAUACUCAGUAUGAAGGUUAUAUAAAGAUAGCCACUCAUGGACAAUGGUCCAAAGAUGGAUCAUGUUCCAGGUGCACCAUGGGAGCUUGUGUAGUAGUCCACUGGUUAAUACUUUUUUACCAUUUUGUUUAAUAUAUUAUUGACUUAUGAAUAUUGGGGAGUGAUGUUGAAGUAUGUUACAGUAGAUUUUUUUGAUGGUAAAAUCUACCUGUCCUAUGUUAAAUGUUUUAAGCUCUUUAAGGACUGGCAUUCAUUUACUUUACUUUACUUGUGACUUCCUGCUUUUUAUGUGUCAUUCUCUGUAUUAUUCAAUCUUUGGUGGUAUAUCAAAUUGUACAACUUGCAACUGACAUUCUGGAUACUGUAUACUAUUUUUUAAUAAGCAUUAUGC